rnacentral:rRNA from 1 species
UACGUAGGGACCAAGCGUUGUUCGGAUUUACUGGGCGUAAAGGGCGCGUAGGCGGCAAUUCAAGUCAGCUGUGAAAUCUCCGGGCUUAACUCGGAACGGUCAGCUGAUACUGCUUUGCUAGAGUGCAGAAGGGGCAAUCGGAAUUCUUGGUGUAGCGGUGAAAUGCGUAGAUAUCAAGAGGAACACCUGUGGCGAAGGCGGAUCUCUGGGCCAUUACUGACGCUGAGGAGCGAAAGCGUGGGGAGCGAACAGG